UAUACUAUCGUAAAUUUUCUUCAACUGGUAUCAGAGCUAGAUUAUUUUGAUAUUAAUAUGACUUUAGAUCUGAUUUUUUAUUAUUAGAUCUGAUUAUUUAUAAUUUAUAUUAGAUCUAAAUUAAUUUAUUUUUAGAUCUAAUUAUUAUUUAUUUAGAUUAGAUGUUCUGAGUAGGAAAGUACUCGAAUUGGAUAAUCACCAGGC
rnacentral:lncRNA from 1 species